rnacentral:rRNA from 1 species
GAUGAACGCUGGCGGCGUGCCUAAUACAUGCAAGUCGGGCGAAUGGAUUAAGAGCUUGCUCUUAUGAAGUUAGCGGCGGACGGGUGAGUAACACGUGGGUAACCUGCCCAUAAGACUGGGAUAACUCCGGGAAACCGGGGCUAAUACCGGAUAACAUUUUGAACCGCAUGGUUCGAAAUUGAAAGGCGGCUUCGGCUGUCACUUAUGGAUGGACCCGCGUCGCAUUAGCUAGUUGGUGAGGUAACGGCUCACCAAGGCAACGAUGCGUAGCCGACCUGGGAGGGUGAUCGGCCACACUGGGACUGGGACACGGCCCAGACUCCUACGGGGGGCAGCAGUAGGGAAUCUUCCGCAAUGGACGAAAGUCUGACGGAGCAACGCCGCGUGAGUGAUGAAGGCUUUCGGGUCGUAAAACUCUGUUGUUAGGGAAGAACAAGUGCUAGUUGAAUAAGCUGGCACCUUGACGGUACCUAACCAGAAAGCCACGGCUAACUACGUGCCAGCCGCCGCAGUAA